CCACUUCUAUAAACCAACCUGCUGACAACUAAUAUGAUCCGUCUAGUGCGCAUGCGCAGCUAGAAAUGAAAUAUGGCCGCUGAAGGUGGAGAUGCCAGUUCUGUCAGACACGAAUAGAUAACGGCGUCACACCUUAAGCAGCAAACCUAACCUCCAUUUUGUUUUAGAUUUGUGUUUCCAAGUUUGUUAAAUCAACGAUUAAACUGUACAAAAUACCUGUAUUUGUCAAUCCACCCUUACAUGGUAUCAGAACCCUAACAUGGUAGCAGAGCUUGUGACGAGCACCCUCACAUGAAUAGCAGAGCUUGUGACGUUAAAAGCAAUCCACAAUCAAGAAGUUAGUGUUAAAAUGAGUUAUCAAGAAGAAAUGGAUCAAUCCCACGUGUCAACAAUGGAAGUUCCAGAAAACAUUUUCGAGAUGCUGACCAACCAGAGUUUUACUCUUACAGUUACACGAGGCAACCAGAACCUAUGAUUUUGUGAUGAAUGCAUUUUUAGAGGUAGCAAACUGCCAGUAUUUCAGAGAGGUUGACAACAGUAUGUAUACAGGUAGUAGUUUGAAUGAUAUUUGUUCUGAAUGUUUUGAUGACACAGAUAGGAAUCUCGAGACCGAGAUCAAUGAAGUUUAUACUGCAUGUUCCUUAUGUUUUGAUUAUCCCAUUGGAGAAUCUAAUAUGUUCACGAAUAAUCUUAAUUCUGUUUCAGUUCUCUGCAUUAAAUGUAGAAAGAGUGAUAAUAAUAUAUGUGAUUUCUGUUUAGAGAGUCGACAUGAUAGGUUAUAUAGGAAGCCCCAUACGAAGAAAGAAAAAAAUUCUUUCAAAAGUUCUUCUGUCAAGUCUUCUGUUCUGACAUCUGAAUUGGGUUGAGCCCCCUUCUGGGACGAGCUCCCUUCCGUUCAGACAGCUGAACUUGGUUGAGCCCCCUUCUGGGUUGAACUUGCUUCCGUUCAGCCAGCUGAACUGGGUUGAGUUCUCUUCUGGGUUGGGUUCCCUUCCGUUCAGCCUUUCUAGAACUUGCUUAGAGAUAGAGUGAGAAUUACGAGUGUUUUGAGAAUAAACAACUAAAAUCAUCAUUUGGGUAUUUACAGUUAAAGACAAUGGUAUAUAUAAGGCUCGUUUAGUUGUUGUAGGAUGCAAAGAUACUGAAAAGUAUACUUCUGAGGAAACUGCAUCUCCUACACCAACUCUAUCAGUUGUUUAAUUAUUAUUUGCAUUAUCAGUUUCUAGAAAAUGGCAUAUUGAACAGUUGGACAUCAAAACAGCAUUUCUUUAUGGUGAAAUUGAUAGACCAAAAUAUGUAAGUGUACCAGAAGGAAUGAAUCUGGAUAAAACUAAGGUAAUUCUUAAGUUACGAAAAGCUCUUUAUGGAAUAUCGAUAGCACCAAAAUGUUGGUUUAUGACACUCGAUAAUUUUAUAAAGAAUUCAGGUUUUGAAACAAAUUUACGUGAACCAUGUUUGUAUAAGAAAGAGGAAGAUAGUGAGAUUAUUUUGAUUCUAGUAUAUGUUGAUGAUCUAUUAAUUACAGGUACCAGUGAAAAGCUUAUUCAAGAAAAUGUCAAUAUGUUCAAAUCACGUUUUAAUAUCAAACAAUUUGGCUAUCCUACUAAGUUUCUUGGUUUGGAAAUCAGUAGAUCAGAAAAUCAGUUGUUUCUUCAUCAAACUCAAAUUCUGUUGAUACUCCAUUGGUUCCUCAAGGAGAUCAUAAAGUUCCCGAAGUUACUAAUGAAGCAGAUUUUCUGUACAAGAAAGCCAUAUGCUCUCUGUUGUAUUUAAGUUUAUUUACAAGACCCGAUAUAUCUUUUUUUGUAGGUUAUUUAUCUCGAUUCCAAGCCAAUCCACAACAGUAUCAUUGGACAUUAGUAAAAAGGGUUUUCAGAUACUUGAAAGGUACCAGUCAGUUGGGUCUAAAAUAUACAGCAGGUUCCCCAACGUUGUCAUGCUAUUGUGAUGCAGAUUUUGCAGCACAGUUAUUGGCAGAAACUGUGGUUAUCAGUUCAUUUCCUGUUGAUAUAUAUGAAGACAAUGACAAGACAAAACUAUCUUGCAGGUACAAGUAAAAGUCGUUCAAAAUAUAUUGCACGUAAAUAUUUAUUAAUUCGUCAACAUGUAAGUGACAAGAAAAUUAAUAUUGUGAAGAUUAAUACCAAUGAUCAGAUUGCUGACAUUCUUACAAAACCUUUAAGUGCAGCAAAGCUAAGUAAAUUUCGUAAUCACCUUGUAUUCUAUGAGGCUUGAUUUUUCAGUUGAUUUGUAUACAAAUAACCCAAUAUGUUCUCUUUUUUUUUCAGUUAUCUGUUGUUUAUCCAUGUAUUGUUUAACAUACUCGGAUAAUACUAAAAAUCUGUUGAAUAUGUGUCUGUGUGGAAAGGUUCUUCGGUUCCUGGAAACAUGCUUAGACAAUACUAAAAAUCUGUUGAAUAUGUGUCUGUGUGGAAAGGUUCUUCGGUUCCUGGAAACAUGCUUAGACAAUACUAAAAAUCUGUUGAAUAUGUGUCUGUGUGGAAAGGUUCUUCGGUUCCUGGAAACAUGCUUAGACAAUACUAAAAAUCUGUUGUGUAUAUGUCGGAGUUUUAUUGAAAGGUUCUUCGGUUCCUGGAAAUAUACUCUAAUAAAUAUGUUUAUAUGUUAA